rnacentral:lncRNA from 1 species
CCUCUGCGUUUAGGGCUUCGCCGUUGGGACCGGUGGCUUUGGAGUUGGGACGUCCGGUUAAGAGUCCGGCGAUGUAGGAGAGGGGGACGAGGUCUCCGGAGGCGGUGAUGGUGCCGCGGAGAGGGAGGGAAGGAGUGAUGUUGUUGUUGAGGAAACUUGUUAUGGCCUCGAGGAUCUCGAAACGUAUGCCGGAGUAUCCUUGGAGGAGAGUGUUGAUACGUACGAGCAUGGCGGCUCUUGUGGCGGAGUGUGGUAAUGUGUGGGAUGUUUCCUUCGUGCUGCCGAAUAUUCCGGCGUUCAGAAAUCUGCAAACGAAUUUUGUGUUAGUUAGUUAUUAAUUAAGUUCUUUAAAAUUUUAAUAAAAAAAAAUUACCCAAACAAAAGUUCCAAAAAAAACAAAUAAUUACCCAAACAAUGUAUUUAAAUAUUGAAAAUAAAAUGCAUAUAUAGACAGAACCUAACCCGACCCAACCCAGCUUAUUUCCCAUGCAAUGUCAUAACCUUAAGGCUUUAUAGAAAUUGUCUCCCGUUGUUUUAAAAUUCAUUAUUAAACUUUAUAGAAAUUUGUCUCCCGUUUAUUUUAAUAUAUUUAAUAUAUAUUUUUAAUAUAGAUGUAAUACCACGCCCAAAUAUAAGCUGCCACGUAUUAAUAUCUUUGUAAUUUUAGAAAUAUGAGUAAAUAUAAAUAUAAUUAUAUAAUUACCUUAUAAGCUCUUUCUGAAGAGCGACACCGUUCUUGGUUCUCCGGUGAGAAGUAGCACCAAAACCAGUAGUAACACCAUAACUAUCGGUUCCUUUGCCCAUACUCUCCAUCACCCAAUCACUACUCGCUUUCACACCGGCUCUCGCCGUCUCCGACAACUCCACCUUCACACCGUUUCCAAGGGUCGAGAUUGCUGCCACUUGUCCGAUCGUGAGAGUCUCGCCUCCGAGAUUCACCACUGGCCUCCUAAACUCCUUCACCAUUCUCUUCACCUCAUCCAAAUGGCUCCCUUUCAUUUGCUCCGCUGCAGCUCCCCAGUUGAGAGGAUCAGCCCCAACCACCGUGGCAUUCUUCUUGAUCUCUCCGCCGCAUAAC